rnacentral:rRNA from 1 species
UUGGAGGGCAAGUCUGGUGCCAGCAGCCGCGGUAAUUCCAGCUCCAAUAGCGUAUAUUAAAGUUGUUGCAGUUAAAAAGCUCGUAGUUGAAUUUCGGAAUCUGUCCGUCGGUCGGGCUUCACUGUCCGUACUGGUGUGAUGGGUUCCUACCUUCUGAAUAAUCGGCAUGUCAUUAAUUUGGUGCGCCGGGGAAGCAGAACUAUUACCUUGAAAAAAUUAGAGUGCUUAAAGCAGGCUAUCGCCUGAAUAGAUUAGCAUGGAAUAAUAAAAUAGGACGGCAUGGUUCUAUUUUGUUGGUUUCUAGGAUCACCGUAAUGAUUAAUAGGGAUAGUUGGGGGCAUUAGUAUUCAAUUGUCAGAGGUGAGAUUCUUGGAUUUAUUGAAGACUAACUUCUGCGAAAGCAUUUGCCAAGGAUGUUUUCAUUAAUCAAGAACGAAAGUUAGGGGAUCGAAGACGAUCAGAUACCGUCGUAGUCUUAACCAUAAACUAUGCCGACUAGGGAUCGGACGAUGUUAAUUUUUUAAUGACUCGUUCGGCGCCUUACGGGAAAC